UGUCACAAAACGACUGGCCUCUUUUGU
rnacentral:piRNA from 1 species